rnacentral:rRNA from 1 species
AUUGAACGCUGGCGGCAUGCCUUACACAUGCAAGUCGAACGGCAGCACGGGUGCUUGCACCUGGUGGCGAGUGGCGAACGGGUGAGUAAUACAUCGGAACGUACCUUAUCGUGGGGGAUAACGCAGCGAAAGCUGUGCUAAUACCGCAUACGCCCUGAGGGGGAAAGCGGGGGAUCGCAAGACCUCGCGCGAUUAGAGCGGCCGAUGCCUGAUUAGCUAGUUGGUGGGGUAAAAGCCCACCAAGGCGACGAUCAGUAGCUGGUCUGAGAGGACGAUCAGCCACACUGGGACUGAGACACGGCCCAGACUCCUACGGGAGGCAGCAGUGGGGAAUUUUGGACAAUGGGGGCAACCCUGAUCCAGCAAUGCCGCGUGAGUGAAGAAGGCCUUCGGGUUGUAAAGCUCUUUUGUCAGGGAAGAAACACCGGCUCUAACACAGUCCGGGAAUGACGGUACCUGAAGAAUAAGCACCGGUUAACUACGUGCCAGCAGCCGCCGCGG